AUAAAUAUUUUCAAACGGAAAAAUCUGUUCUUAUCAGUUUAAUAUCUGAUACGUCCCCUACCCGGGGACCAUAUAUUAAAUUGAUUUUUGGAACUGGGAAAUGGAAAAGGGGCUUGCCCCGUCCACUCCACGCAUCGACCUGGUAUUGCAGUACCUCCAGGACCGGUGCACCCCUC
rnacentral:snRNA from 10 species